GACGAACGCUGGCGGCGUGCUUAACACAUGCAAGUCGAGCGGAGCGGCGAACGGGUGAGUAACGCGUGAGUAACUGCCCCCCUCUCUGGGAUAACAGUUGGAAACGGCUGCUAAUACCGGAUAGUGGGGGAUGACUCGCGUCCUAUCGGCUUGUUGGUGGGGUAGUGGCCUACCAAGGCGACGACGAGUAGCCGGCCUGAGAGGGCGACCGGCUAGAUGGGGAUGAAAUACGGCCCAAACUCAUAGGGGAGGCAGCAGUGGGGAAUAUUGCACAAUGGGGGAAACCCUGAUGCGGCAACGCGCGGGAUGGAUGACGGCCUUCGGGUUGUAAACCGCUUUCAGCGAUGACGCGGUAGUGGCAGAAGAAGCACCGGCUAACUUCGUGCCAGCAGCCGCGGUAAAC
rnacentral:rRNA from 1 species